GCUUUGUUAGGGUUUGUAGUUGUUAUUAGUGUUAUUCUCUCAUUGGAAACUAAGUACCAGCAGGUUUGGCAAGUGAGACUAUAAUCGAUGACAGGGAUACAACAUAUGAAGAGGAUAUCAACUCUGCUGGGACCAAGAAAAGUGAUUCAAAAAGGUAUCGGAGCAUGCUCAUACUAUUUUGUUGAGUAAGAUUCUGCAGUCUAACAUAAGAUUAGGGGAUGCCCAUCUAAACAAGAAGGAUCCCUCGAUGGUUUUAGCCAGGUGGGUGGAACUUUAGCAAUCUGUAAAUGUGCUCUUUACCAGUAACACUUCUGGAAAAACAGAAUAUGUUUAUGCUCGUGUGAAGCUUUCAAGAUAUUCUUUAGAGGUUCUGUCUGAAGAUUUGCCUGCUACUAUUUCUAAAAUAUCAUUUCCAAAGACGAUGAAAUGGAAUUCCCAGGUAUGUGGGAUUUGAGGCAGAUGAAGAACUAGAAAUCUCCCAAAUACGAUCUUCCGUUGAACAAGAUAUUUAAAGAACAAGAUUUUUUUCUCUUCUAUCAGAAGGUUAAUAAUUUUUAUUAGAAGAUAC